UACGAAGGGGGGCUAGCGUUGCUCGGAAUCACUGGGCGUAAAGGGUGCGUAGGCGGGUCUUUAAGUCAGGGGGUGAAAUCCUGGAGCUCAACUCCAGAACUGCCUUUGAUACUGAGGAUCUUGAGUUCGGGAGAGGUGAGUGGAACUGCGAGUGUAGAGGUGAAAUUCGUAGAUAUUCGCAAGAACACCAGUGGCGAAGGCGGCUCACUGGCCCGAUACUGACGCUGAGGGCACGAAAGCGUGGGGAGCAAACAGG
rnacentral:rRNA from 1 species